rnacentral:rRNA from 1 species
AACGAACGCUGGCGGCAUGCCUAACACAUGCAAGUCGAACGAAGUCUUCGGACUUAGUGGCGCACGGGUGCGUAACGCGUGGGAAUCUGCCCUUGGGUACGGAAUAACUCAGAGAAAUUUGUGCUAAUACCGUAUAAUGUCUUCGGACCAAAGAUUUAUCGCCCAAGGAUGAGCGCGCGUAAGAUUAGCUAGUUGGUGGGGUAAAAGCCUACCAAGGCGACGAUCUUUAGCUGGUCUGAGAGGAUGAUCAGCCACACUGGGACUGAGACACGGCCCAGACUCCUACGGGAAGCAGCAGUAGGGAAUAUUGGACAAGGGACGAAGGUCUGAUCCAGCAAUGCCGCGUGAGUGAUGAAGGCCCUAGGGUUGUAAAGCUCUUUUACCAGGGAUGAUAAUGACAGUACCUGGAGAAUAAGCUCCGGCUAACUCCGUG